CAGCUGAGUGAACUGGAACAAUGUGAGAUAAAGUGUCUUGCUCAAGGACACAACAUACAACAAGGUAUUGAACUCAUGACCUUAGGAUCACGAGCCAAAUACUGUAACCACUUAGCUACACACAAACACACACACACACACACACAUAUAUAUAUACGA